UUUGAGAUAAUACUUCAGUAAUUAUACUUUAGUAACUUUCUGUAAUGGAGACUGUGAAGGAUUAGAGUACUUCUUCAACCUCUGUUACCCUGGUAGUUAAACUGGUGGUGAAGCUGGUAUUUAUGCUGGUCUACCAGCAGUCUUGCUGGCGAAACUGAAACAGACACAGACAGACAGAGAGGGCGGGACACGGGGGAACGGCGAGACAGCAGUGGUUGAAACAAAGCGGUUUGUUUUUGACUGGCACCAUAUGGCGCUGACUGGCACGGUUGAGGAGUGAAGAUCAGUUGAACGUUUCUGUGACUCCGCCCAGCGGCUGCUCUUCUGAGAGGCACCGCUCUGACAGCUCUGUCUACUGGGAAACGCGCCAAAAGUCCUUCUGGAGGCUUUGCAUUUGAACCCCUAUGACAGGUUGCGGACUUGAAGGGAACGACUUCCUGGCCUUCCUGACAUCCAGGAAAAAGUUUUAUGGGACAGUAGAGAUCUAAUGGAAACAGUGGAGAGGGAGGAGAUGAUAUGCAGCAAAAGGCCGAGGUGGAUGGUUGCUGCUCCGUGUGGAACGUGUUCUCUCAGGUGUAACAUCUACCAAUGGUUGUACAUGACACCCCCUCUUUGCUGUCCUACUAGUCAACUCUCCUGAUCAGAGCCUUUCCUAAAUAGUGAAAGGAUCAUGCCAGCCCACAUCAAACUAGAGAUGGCAAAUCCGGAUCCUUUUACGGACUCAGGGUCUUCUGAGUCAGUCAUUGAAGAGAUCCGGAUCAUACGAGUCAUUUGAGUCGUGUUGGUGGGUGGUCUCAGACAAUCUUUUUCUCAUUCUAAACGUGUGAUGGGUUUUCGACGGAAUAGUGGAUUUCUUACUCUCUGUGUUGCGCUAACAAGAGCAACCUGUUGAAACUUGUUAUUACAUCGUUCUUCUGGCUGGGUACAUGAGUUCAUAGGACCAGGUCUUCUUUUCCAUGACUUUUAUUUGAUCUCUUUGUGAAUCACUUUAUUCAAAAAUGUGCUGUCUUUGAAUGUGCUACAUACAUAAACGUACGUAACGUAGGAAAGACAAAAGUAAUUUAAUUUAGAAAUGUUACAUAGUAUAUCAGCAUAUGUAUAUAUAAGUGUGAAAAUGUUGACUCUCAGACCUGCAGAGGACACAGAGACACCGAAGAGGAAUCAACACAUAACGAGUACCCUGACCCAAACCCAGCAUAGAGAGGUUCAGUGAAUGUGGUUCUGAAGGUGUGGAGGUGGACCAGUGUGUCAGAGGAGACUCUGUAGAAGGAGAGAGAGCCAGCAGGAAAAUCCAGAUACACUGCUACUCUACCAGAGGGUUAGCAAAACCCUUCAGAGACAUGUUUUUUAUAUCUGAGACCUAUAAUAUAUGCUUACAAAUAGUACAAUAGGAGACCUUUAAGUGCAGUUCCAAACCAACGAGUGUGGAGGGGGAGUGUUUUAUCAAGAGAGUCUGCAUCACCUGACUUCACCUGCUGCUCCACCUGACCGACCAACGUGUGUGUGUCCGUCAGGAAACACGCUGCUUACAAACAGUUCCAACAUUUACUGAACAACAAGAUAGAUGUUUAAUAUCUUCAUACAGAUGUUAACAACUUCCUGUUCCCUCGUAUUGUUUUUAACUCAGGAUCAUACCUGUGUU